rnacentral:rRNA from 1 species
GUGAGUCAUCGAAUCUUUGAACGCACCUUGCACUCUUUGGUAUUCCGAAGAGUAUGUCUGUUUGAGUGUCAUGAAACUCUCAACCCCCCUGUUUUGUAAUGAGACAGGCUGCGGGCUUGGAUUGUGGCUGUCUGUCGGACCUUUUAGUAGGACCGGCUCGGCUGAAAUACACGAGCGACCCAUCUGAACCAGUGACGGCUUGACUCGGCGUAAUAAUACUAUUCGCUGAGGACGUCGUUGGAUUCUAACAGAGGCGCUUCUAAUGCGAAGGGUUACCUUCAUUUAAGCUUUAGACCUCAAAUCAGACAGGACUACCCGCUGAACUUAA